rnacentral:rRNA from 1 species
GACGAACGCUGGCGGCGUGCUUAACACAUGCAAGUCGAACGGAAAGGCCCUGCUUUUGUGGGGUGCUCGAGUGGCGAACGGGUGAGUAACACGUGAGUAACCUGCCCUUGACUUUGGGAUAACUUCAGGAAACUGGGGCUAAUACCGGAUAGGAACUCCUGCUGCAUUUUGUGGGUUGGAAAGUUUCGGCGGUUGGGGAUGGACUCGCGGCUUAUCAGCUUGUUGGUGGGGUAGUGGCUUACCAAGGAAUUGACGGGUAGCCGGCCUGAGAGGGUGACCGGCCACAUUGGGACGGAGAUACGGCCCAGACUCCUACGGGAGGCAGCAGUGGGGAAGAUUGCACAAUGGGCGGAAGCCUGAUGCAGCAACGCCGCGUGCGGGAUGACGGCCUUCGGGUUGUAAACCGCUUUCGCCUGUGACGAAGCGUGAGUGACGGUAAUGGGUAAAGAAGCACCGGCUAACUACGUG